GUGCUCGCUAUGGCAGCACAUAUCCUAAAAUCGGAACCAUACAGAGAAGAUUAGCAUGGCCCCUUCAAAAACAAAAAACAAAAAACACCGGUUAUUACAGUUUGGCU
rnacentral:snRNA from 1 species